rnacentral:rRNA from 1 species
UUACCACACCUAAAAAACUUUCCACGUGAACCGUAUCAACCCACUUAGUUGGGGGCUAGUCCCGGCGGCUGGCUGUCGAUGUCAAAGUUGACGGCUGCUGCUGUGUGUCGGGCCCUAUCAUGGCGAGCGUUUGGGUCCCUCUCGGGGGAACUGAGCCAGUAGCCCUUAUUUUUUAAACCCAUUCUUGAAUACUGAAUAUACUGUGGGGACGAAAGUCUCUGCUUUUAACUAGAUAGCAACUUUCAGCAGUGGAUGUCUAGGCUCGCACAUCGAUGAAGAACGCUGCGAACUGCGAUACGUAAUGCGAAUUGCAGGAUUCAGUGAGUCAUCGAAAUUUUGAACGCAUAUUGCACUUCCGGGUUAGUCCUGGGAGUAUGCCUGUAUCAGUGUCCGUACAUCAAACUUGGCUCUCUUCCUUCCGUGUAGUCGGUGGAUGGGGACGCCAGACGUGAGGUGUCUUGCGGGUGGUCUUCGGGCUGCCUGCGAGUCCCUUGAAAUGUACUGAACUGUACUUCUCUUUGCUCGAAAAGCGUGACGUUGUUGGUUGUGGAGGCUGCCUGUGUGGCCAGUCGGCGACCGGUUUGUCUGCUGCGGCGUUUAAUGGAGGAGUGUUCGAUUCGCGGUAUGGUUGGCUUCGGCUGAACAAUGCGCUUAUUGGACGUUCUUCCUGCUGUGGCGGUAC